UUAGAGUUUGAUCCUGGCUCAGAACAAACGCUGGCGGCGUGCCUAAUACAUGCAAGUCGAACGCAGUAGCAAUACUGAGUGGCGCACGGGUGAGGAACACGUGGAUAAUCUACCUUUGAGUGGGGAACAACCUUUCGAAAGAAGGGCUAAUACCGCAUAAGACCACAGUGACUGCGGUCACAGGGGUCAAAGGGGGCGUAAGCUCUCGCUUGAAGAUGAGUCCGCGCUCGAUUAGCUAGUUGGUAGGGUAAUGGCCUACCAAGGCGACGAUCGAUAGCUGGUCUGAGAGGACGACCAGCCACACUGGAACUGAGACACGGUCCAGACUCCUACGGGAGGCAGCAGUAGGGAAUAUUGCACAAUGGAGGAAACUCUGAUGCAGCGACGCCGCGUGAGUGAUGAAGGCCUUCGGGUCGUAAAGCUCUGUUGUACGGGAAGAAGGUCAUUUACCUAAUACGUAAGAGGCUUGACGGUACCGUAUAAGAAAGGACCGGCUAACUUCGUGCCAGCAGCCGCGGUAAGACGAGGGGUCCUAGCGUUGUUCGGAAUCAUUGGGCGUAAAGCGUAUGUAGGCGGCUUUUCAAGUCAGAUGUGAAAGCCCACGGCUUAACCGUGGAAAUGCAUUUGAUACUGCUAAGCUUGAGUGCGGAAGAGGAUGGUAGAAUUCCUGGUGUAGUGGUGAAAUACGUAGAUAUCAGGAGGAAUACGGGAGGCGAAGGCGGCCAUCUGGUCCGCUACUGACGCUGAGAUACGAAAGCGUGGGGAUCAAACAGGAUUAGAUACCCUGGUAGUCCACGCCGUAAACGAUGGAUACUUGGUGUUGGAGGUAUUGACCCCUUCAGUGCCGAAGCUAACGCGUUAAGUAUCCCGCCUGGGAAGUACGGUCGCAAGAUUAAAACUCAAAGAAAUUGACGGGGGCCCGCACAAGCGGUGGAGCAUGUGGUUCAAUUCGAUGCAACGCGAAAAACCUUACCUGGGUUUGAAGUGCUAGUGAAUACGGUAGAGAUAUCGUAGGCCUUCGGGACACUAGUAUCAGGUGCUGCAUGGCUGUCGUCAGCUCGUGUCGUGAGAUGUCGGGUUAAGUCCCAUAACGAGCGCAACCCCUGUCUUUAGUUGCCAGCAUUAAGUUGGGCACUCUAAAGAGACUGCCGACGUUAAGUCGGAGGAAGGUGGGGAUGACGUCAAGUCCUCAUGGCCUUUAUGUCCAGGGCUACACACGUGCUACAAUGGUCGGUACAAAGGGCUGCAAGCCUGCGAAGGUAAGCUAAUCCCAAAAAACCGAUCUAAGUUCGGAUUGGAGUCUGCAACUCGACUCCAUGAAGCUGGAAUCGCUAGUAAUCGCGGAUCAGCAUGCCGCGGUGAAUACGUUCCCGGGCCUUGUACACACCGCCCGUCACACCAUGAAAGCUGUUUGUACCAGAAGUCGAUGUGCUAACCGCAAGGAGGCAGUCGCCCAAGGUAUGAAGAGUGAUUGGGGUGAAGUCGUAACAAGGUAACC
rnacentral:rRNA from 1 species